CCCACACACCUGCGGUUCAUCUUCCCAUCUGCGCCUCAUUAUCUCUGUGUUCCUGUUGCUAAUUAAGACAAUGAAGUGGUGCUACUCGUCGCUGGAUUGUUGUACGAUUAGUGCCUCCUGGACCUGUCACUUACUAACCCAAGGCAUUGAGAGUGAGUUGGAGUGUGGCUUGCAGAUCGGAGUGUGUGGUUGAAGAGGAGUGAGUGUGACCUACCCUUUCCCCCCUUGGAUUUCCUGGAGUCCCCAACCCCAGCACUGUUGUACAUAUCACUCCUUCUUGUGUUUUCAAAGAUUCUGAGUCCUGCAAUUGAGUCCACCCGUUUACAGUGUUGGGGUAUGACGACUGAAAUGGAGGAUGUUUGACGGUGUCUACUAAGAUGGAAAAUGUGAGCCCUUUUUAUUAUGGCUGACGCUAAGUGAAAGAUAACAAAACCCUAAAAGAAACUCCUCUAAAUGAUCCCAAGCAUCCAGUGAAAGAAACUUACAGAAAAAGAAAAUGGUCUAUGAAUGGCCCAGCCAAUUGCCUGAUGUGACUCCAAAUGAAAAUUUUAUGGAAAAACCUACAGCUCUGAGUUUAUAGAAGGGGUCCAUGGAUCCUUCCGGAUUUGGAGACUUUUUGGUUUUUGUGGAAGAAUGGGCCAAAAUCACACUUGAGGAAUGCAUUCGACUAGGUUCUCCACACAGGAGAGACAGAUGGAGACAGAUGUCUCCUGUGUGGAGCUGUCCCCAACAAAGGCUUUUUGUACAAAGUAUUAAAUACAUUUCAGUUUUCAGUCAUUUUUCUCUGUCAUUUCUCAUUAUUACACAUAACGUGAUUUAUGGACAUCUAUGCAUCUUUGCAUGUGUGGAUUGGAUUGGUUAUCUGGUGAGAAUUUCUUGGCAAUACAACCUUUAGAAAUCGAUUUACUUACAAAGUUGGUCACUUUUUUAUCUGCUUAAUUUGUUAUGGAAUAAUCCAUGAAUAGACCUCACAUGGAUACAAAAUGGUUUAUCAUUUCAUUGUUCAAUUAAAUAUUAGUGUCUAAAACAGGGGGCUGUGUGUAUAAAUGGG